AAUAAGCUCAAAUUCUCCCAACUUCAUCACCAGCACGUCCUAAAUCAUCUCCCUCAAAAACUACACCAUCACUAACUGAAGGAAACUAAAACCCCAACAAUGCACGCCAAAAUCCUUGUCAAUGCCUACGCCUAAAUCAACAUCCCCAAGACCGGCACCAAAUUCUGCUCAAUUUCAAGUUCAACUAGGUUUUUUUUUUUUUCCCUUUUUGAUUUUAUUUGCUUUAUGUUUAUUUAUUUUGAUGUGAUUAAAUGAAGUAUUUGUUUUUCUUAUGAAUGGGAUUUUCAUUUUAUGCUAGUUUAUCUAGUUAUAUUGGAAAUAUUAAAUAAUUUUUGAAGUAAAAUGAUAUAAUUUUGGUCUUUUUGAUUCGGAAAAUGAACGUAUAAAUGAAAAAAUUGGUCUGAAAAAAGAUGAGAAAAAGCUAUUCUUCUGAGGUUUUAGUGGUUGGUGUCCCUAUAUUAAUAGUUUGUUUUUCAAAUGAAUUAAUCUGAUUGUGUAAAUAGUGCGUUUGUAUAACUUUUAUUUUCAAUUUAUAGUGGGUAAUCUUUGAUUGGCACUUGAAUCCUUAUAUUAGUUGCAACUCGUACAUAAGUAUGCUCUUAACAUGGAUUAAUUGUUGUUCUUGUUGGCGAUUAUUGGGAUGUAUAUUUCAAGAUGAAGUAAUAUGGAUUAAAAGGUUUGAAAGAAUUGUUUGCAAUGAAAAUUCUUUAGUAUUUUAUGUAUUUUUUUCUCGUACUUGUAGAUAAUGUAUGUUAAAAUUAGAAAUUUCAUCAUACUCGACGAAUGCAAAAAUAGAUUGUAAUCUUGUUCUCUAUCAUUGCAUUCCUCUUUUAGCGAUAUGAGGAAGAACCUAUGUGUAGGAAGAAGGUACAGGAAGAAAAUAUUUUUUUGGUGUUGGUAUUUGAUGGGUUUUGUGCAUUGUGAUUAUAUGUAAAUAACAUAUUUUCAGCAUUGUGGAUGUCACGACUCUUAGCAUAUUGGUCCAUAAGUACCAUGUACGAACUAAACACUGGUUUGCCUCUUUUCUUCUUAGCAGCCUUUUGCAGUAUAGAGUUGGCCUUUUCUACUUGUUCGACAUCAAUGUAAAGCUUCACAAGUGCAUCCCAAGUUAGUGGUCCGAUGACAUAGCCACUUUCAACCAUUCCCUUUACGAGGUCUUUUCCUUUGGCCAACAUUUUAUGUUGUGCAUUAACAUUUAGUAGAAUCUGGGAUCUUUUCAUCUGAUUGUAUACUGUAUUGCUUUAAUGCUUGUACAUAUUUAUGUAAUUGGUGUAUACUUGCAUGUAUGGGAUGUAUAAAAUGUACAUGCAUGUGAAUUCUUGGUAUUGAG
rnacentral:lncRNA from 1 species